GGCUCAAUGGUCUAGUGGUAUGAUUCUCGCUUUGGGUUGCCGUCAACUAUGCGAGAGGCCCCGGGUUCGAAUCCCGGUUGAGCCC